CAUAUUUGAAAUAUGAUGGAAAUUCAUAUUUAAAUAGAAGAUAGAAAUAUUAAAAAUAGAGCAUAGUUGAUAUACAAUUCAAAAUGAUUUGCCAAAUAAAAUUUUCUCAGUUUGAGAAAUUCUUCUUUACUUUCAAAACAAGUAAUUGUAAGAAACACAGGAGAGACUUGUUCAAGGUUUCUUGAAGAAACGAAGAUACAAGUGGUAUUGUAUCGUUUAAUGACAAAAAAAAAGGGGAAGAAUGAAUAUUUGUAGCGCGACAAAGAAAGAAACAGGAAGAAAUUAUAAAAGAGGUAGAAAAUACCGUGCGAAUCUCCAUUUUCCUCUUUUCAUUAAUACGAAAAAAAUCUCUUGAUCUGUGUGCGAGAGUGGAAAAAAAGAAAAAGAAGAACGAGAAAUGGAAUAGACGAAGAGGCGAGAAAUCGAUUUGACUUUUCCGGCACAUCUGUUUUCGGAAUUUGCAUACGAAUUCUUGGCCAAAGAUUUAAAAGAAACAGGCAUUCCCCGCAAAAGAAGAAAGUGUGGAGUUCGAGCUCCCUGGCCACACGUGUCAAUUGAAUGUUUUCCAGUCUGAGAAUUACAAACAUGUGGAAGAUGGAAACUCGAAAAGAGAGUUCAAUAUGUAUAUUUAUCUAUCAUCGAUGAAAAUCAAUAGAGGAAUAUGCUCGAGGAGUUGGAGAAGAAGAAGGGAAAACUGUAUGUAUGAUUCUCUCUUUUUAUGGUAUUGAACAGAGAACAUAAAAUUUCCAUGCAAAUUCUUACUCUAGUAUUUACGAGAGGAAGACAUUGCGGCUGGAAAUAAAAA